rnacentral:rRNA from 1 species
GGGGUUUUUGUUUGGAGAGUUUGAUUCUGGCUCAGGACGAACGCUGGCGGCGUGCUUAACACAUGCAAGUCGAACGGUAAGGCCCUUCGGGGUACACGAGUGGCGAACGGGUGAGUAACACGUGGGUAAUCUGCCCUGCACAUCGGGAUAAGCCUGGGAAACUGGGUCUAAUACCGAAUAGGACCACAGAACACAUGUCCUGUGGUGGAAAGCUUUUGCGGUGUGGGAUGGGCCCGCGGCCUAUCAGCUUGUUGGUGGGGUGAUGGCCCACCAAGGCGACGACGGGUAGCCGGCCUGAGAGGGUGUCCGGCCACACUGGGACUGAGAUACGGCCCAGACUCCUACGGGAGGCAGCAGUGGGGAAUAUUGCACAAUGGGCGAAAGCCUGAUGCAGCGACGCCGCGUGGGGGAUGACGGCCUUCGGGUUGUAAACCUCUUUCACCAUCGACGAAGGUCGGGUUUUCUCGGAUUGACGGUAGGUGGAGAAGAAGCACCGGCCAACUACGUGCCAGCAGCCGCGGUAAUACGUAGGGUGCGAGCGUUGUCCGGAAUUACUGGGCGUAAAGAGCUCGUAGGUGGUUUGUCGCGUUGUUCGUGAAAUCUCACGGCUUAACUGUGAGCGUGCGGGCGAUACGGGCAGACUUGAGUACUGCAGGGGAGACUGGAAUUCCUGGUGUAGCGGUGGAAUGCGCAGAUAUCAGGAGGAACACCGGUGGCGAAGGCGGGUCUCUGGGCAGUAACUGACGCUGAGGAGCGAAAGCGUGGGGAGCGAACAGGAUUAGAUACCCUGGUAGUCCACGCCGUAAACGGUGGGUACUAGGUGUGGGUUUCCUUCCUUGGGAUCCGUGCCGUAGCUAACGCAUUAAGUACCCCGCCUGGGGAGUACGGCCGCAAGGCUAAAACUCAAAGAAAUUGACGGGGGCCCGCACAAGCGGCGGAGCAUGUGGAUUAAUUCGAUGCAACGCGAAGAACCUUACCUGGGUUUGACAUGCACAGGACGCCGGCAGAGAUGUCGGUUCCCUUGUGGCCUGUGUGCAGGUGGUGCAUGGCUGUCGUCAGCUCGUGUCGUGAGAUGUUGGGUUAAGUCCCGCAACGAGCGCAACCCUUGUCUCAUGUUGCCAGCGGGUAAUGCCGGGGACUCGUGAGAGACUGCCGGGGUCAACUCGGAGGAAGGUGGGGAUGACGUCAAGUCAUCAUGCCCCUUAUGUCCAGGGCUUCACACAUGCUACAAUGGCCGGUACAAAGGGCUGCGAUGCCGCGAGGUUAAGCGAAUCCUUUUAAAGCCGGUCUCAGUUCGGAUCGGGGUCUGCAACUCGACCCCGUGAAGUCGGAGUCGCUAGUAAUCGCAGAUCAGCAACGCUGCGGUGAAUACGUUCCCGGGCCUUGUACACACCGCCCGUCACGUCAUGAAAGUCGGUAACACCCGAAGCCAGUGGCCUAACCCUUUGGGAGGGAGCUGUCGAAGGUGGGAUCGGCGAUUGGGACGAAGUCGUAACAAGGUAGCCGUACCGGAAGGUGCGGCUGGAUCACCUCCUUUCUAA